rnacentral:rRNA from 1 species
CAGCCGCCACGGUAAUACGAGGGGGGCAAGCGUUGUUCGGAUUUAUUGGGCGUAAAGGGUGCGUAGGCGGUUUGGCAAGUCUUGUGUGAAAUCUUCGGGCUCAACCCGAAGCCUGCACGAGAAACUACCGGGCUUGAGUAUUGGAGAGGUGAGUGGAAUUUCCGGUGUAGCGGUGAAAUGCGUAGAUAUCGGAAGGAACACCUGUGGCGAAAGCGGCUCACUGGACAAUAACUGACGCUGAUGCACGAAAGCUAGGGGAGCAAACAGGAUUAGAUACCCCCGUAGUCCCUGUCUCUUAUAA